rnacentral:misc_RNA from 1 species
GUGAAUCAUCGAAUUUUUGAACGCAAAUUGCACUUUCUGGUGUUCCGGGAAGUAUGCCUGUUUGAGGGUCAGUUAAAUUAAAAUCGUUGUUGUGGCUACCCGUAGUGGUGUGUGAUGCAUCUGAAUUGAGUUGUUUUUUACCUUUGGUUUAAGUAACUUAAAAUUAUGUUCGGUUUUUUAACGUAUUUAUAUUUUUACUUACGUUCGUAAUAUCACAUAUGAGGUGCUGUCAUUCACAUGAUCUCGCU